rnacentral:lncRNA from 1 species
CCGCGGCGGUCCCCCUCGGCGGCGGCAGCCCCGCGGCUCCCGGUCACCACAGCGCCGAGCGGCCCGGCGAGGGGGGCAGAGAGCGGAAAAGGUGGGCGGCGGGGGAUAUCGGCAAUACCCCACGGCCAGCACCUGCUGCCCGCCCCUUCUACCCGCUUAUUGGCUGCAGCCGCCACCACCUCCGCGCCGAUUGGGAGCGCCGCCGUUGAGAGGCAGCCGCUACGACCCGUGGCGCUGCUAGGCACCGAACAACAAGGCGAGGGGGCUUUCUGAUUGGUGGAGAGCGCUGAGGCAGCGGCCCCGCCUACCAACAGGCAGGACAGCCGGCCGUUCUCGCGUCGCUCAGACCCUUCCUACCAAUCGGACACGGCCGAGAGGAGACGGUGUCCCUCCCCCGGCUGCCAUUGGGCGAGAGCGGGGCAAGGCGGGCGGCGAUAGGCGGCGCGGGCUGCCCGUCAGCCCGCCGCGGCCCUGCGCUCCGGCUGGGGCGCAGGGCGGUGAGUACGUGAGGAGCCGCACAGCAGCGCGCGGGCGGGUUGGGGGGGGGGGGGGGGCCCCGCCCCCUCCCCGCAGCGCCUCAUGGCGGCGGGGGCAGGUGGGAGCCGGGCCCGGGGCUCCCCCCUGCAGCGGGGAGGCCAAAAAGUGACCCCCCAGCACCCCCUUCCCGCUCGCCCCCCGCCAUCACCGGGGCGUCCCGUUACGGCAGCCCGCGCUGGGCCCGGCCCCGGGGCCUCAGGCCCGCGGCGUCGCACCCCGGGGCAGGCUUUACGCUGAGGUAAAUCGGUGUCGCCGCCCCGGGCUGCGGCCCAGCGCGGGCAGGCUUCGCGCCCAGGCAGCCCGAGCUCGCCCUCGACGCCGGGCGAGAUGGUGGUCGGCGAGGCGGGUCGCCCCCAGUGAGCYGUCCGGCCUUGUCAGCAAAGGGAAAGGCCGCCGCACGUGGGAACUGGCCCGUUUGGCCCUUCUGCCCGAGGCUCACGUGAGGAAAAACGGCCCCGGAGAGGGAAGAGCAGCCCCUGGACGGCACUAGGCUGCCGGGAUGCUGGAGCUACAGGUUGCCCUAAUGCCUGCAGUACCUGUGUGCCUGUUACCAGGACUCCCAGCCCUCCUUGCAUCCUGCCUCCAUCACCGCAGAGGAACAGCCUUUUUAUACCCGCUGCAAUUACACAGCCAUGGAAGCCUGCCAGGGUAAAGAAGUAUCAGGGGCAUUUUUUAAUUUGUGUCCAAUUAAAUAGCGCAGACCAUAGAUUCUGUACACUGGCUGGGAAGCGAGAUGGGAAUUCCCAAAAUAGAAGGAAGAUCCUUGUAUUGUUUUUCAGUGUUGUUAUUCUGGUUUCCUGAUUCCUUAUCUAUGAACAUUCAUUUUACCAAAUCACAUGCUGGAUGUUUACCCUGUAGAAUUCCACAACAGAAAUGUAUACCUACAAAAUGCACGCGCAAGUAACGUACAAGAAACAAAAGCAUCAUCCAGUUAACAGUCUCUGCCACCACAAAAGCAACCCAUUCCUAUCCAAAGCCAUACACCAGCUCACCUUAGACUUACAGCACAGUAAUUUUGCUACUACAGCUUUGUUUUGAGAUCUACAAGCCUAAAGUUAUAAAUUAUCGACAUUGCACUGAAGUUCUAAUUUAUGGUAAAUAAACACUAAAAACCAGAAAACUACA